GGGGGAUAUUGCACAAUGGAGGAAACUCUGAUGCAGCAACGCCGCGUGAAGGAUGAAGGUCUUCGGAUUGUAAACUUUUGUACUUGGGGACGAUAAUGACGGUACCCAAGCAGCAAGCUCCGGCUAACUACGUGCCAGCAGCCGCGGUAAUACGUAGGGAGCAAGCGUUGUCCGGAUUUACUGGGUGUAAAGGGUGCGUAGGCGGCCAUACAAGUCAGUUGUGAAAACUAUGGGCUCAACCCAUAGCCUGCAAUUGAAACUGCGUGGCUUGAGUGAAGUAGAGGUAGGUGGAAUUCCCGGUGUAGCGGUGAAAUGCGUAGAGAUCGGGAGGAACACCAGUGGCGAAGGCGACCUACUGGGCUUUAACUGACG
rnacentral:rRNA from 1 species